AGAAACUCAGAUCUUUAGAAGAAUGAGCAUUGGCAAAGAAUAAGUGAAGGCAGCAAAUAAAUAAAUGCGUCAUCAAAUUAGAAGAAGAGAAUUUCAACUUCCUAAUCAGAGACAAAGAUUAAGAAACUGAUUUCUGUUGCCUGUGCUUGCUACAAGAAAACUGGACAAAUACAUAUGGAUAACUUUUUUGAAAAGGUACUAAAUCCACCCCACCCCUAUUCCCACAUUUCUCCUUGAGUGUGGGCUGUACUUAGUGACUUGCAUCUAAUGAAUAGACUAUGGGAAAAAGGGAAAGUAACUUUAGAGUGGAAAAAAAUGACCAACACUAUCUUAAGGUUGAUAUCAAUGCUAACAUCUUCAGUGACUCAGUGUUAAUGAUAUGUACCCUUGCUAUGAUGUGAUAACAGUGGCACUUGACAUCUGUGAUAUUUUUUCUCCAAAUCCAUCACCCCAGUCUAACAGUGAGAAAAGCACUAAACAAAUCCACAAUGAGGGACAUUAUACAAAAUACCUAACCAGUACUUCAUGAAAACUCCAAGGUCAUCAAAAUCAAAGACAACACGUUGCCACAGACCAGAGAAUACUAAGACCAGAGAAUGCACUGGCCAAAUGCAAUGUGGUACCCUGGGCGGGAUCUGAAAACAAAGGACAUUAGGGAAAAGCUAAUGAAAUCUGAAUAAAGUCUGAAGUUUAGUUAAUAGUGGUGCAUCAGUAUUGGUUUGCUGGGGUUUCCAUAGUGGUACACUGGAAACGAAUCCAACUAGGAACCAUGAGGCUGUGGGUUUGAUCCCUGGCCCUGCUCAGUGGGUUAAGGAUCUGACAUUGCCGUGAGCUGUGGUGUAGCUUGCAGACGUGGCUUGGAUCUGAUGUUGCUGUGGCUGUGGCAUAGGCCAGCAGCUGUAGCUCCGAUUGGACCCCUAGCCUGGGAACCUCCAUAUGCCAUGGAUGUGGCCCUAAAAAACAAAAAUAUGUGUGUAUAUAUAUUGGUUUGCUGUGAUAAAUAUACUAUGGUUAUAUAAGAUGUUAAUAGUGGAAAUUGGACAUUGUUAACUAUUUUUUAUUCACUUUGUUGUCCAAUUUGCUACAUGAAUUUGUAUGCUUAAAAAUAUUUUUUAUUCAAGAGCAAUAAAGAAUGAUUAUAGAAAUAUCAAUCCAGACAAAAAUUUACUGAUCAUCAAAGAACACUAUCCUUUUUUUUUUUUUUUUUUUUUUUGUCUUCUGUCCUUUUGAUGGACAUUUACUAUAGUCCAUUUUUUAGGGAAUUAUAUAAGGAAUAAAUACUGUAGAUGGAAAAGGGUCCAUCGUUUAACACUUACAUUUAUUAAGCUUCAUCUGUGAAUUCAUUGAGUAGAUUUAUAGUGUCCUAGGAUGGUACAAGUUAGAAAGGUUUUGAACCUCAAUUUUGGCCUUAGUUAAUAAGUAAUAUUUUUGCUAUGUUAGUUCUUUUUCAUUUAAUUUUUUUUCCAUUGGCAGGAGCUUUCAGAGGAACGAUUUAUGGUUUUGAGAAUUGCUGGUUUGCUACUAUAUAUAUUCAUUAACUGCUAAACACUCAGAGAAUGUACGCCUCAGGGAACUGGGUUAAUUGUCCAUGCUAACCAAGUACAGUGAUAAAAUGUUUAACAAAUGAAAUUUUCCACUUCUACUUCCCUUGUAGGAAGUUUAUUAGCAUUUACAACCACCACGAUGUUGGGAAUCAACACUUAUUAAAAACCACUUUGUGUAGAAAUACUGCCAACUUCAUGCCAACUCUUGAGGCUGAAGGGAUUCAUCGGCACUAAGCAUGAAUAGGCUUUGUUCUCAGCCACUGGUGUUACCUAGACUUUAAUUCAGGAGUGACUACAGCAAAUACUAGUUCAUGAGAGAGCUAAGGCAGACAUUUCAGAAUCUUGGUGAAGGGUUUUUCUCAUUGCAAGAUACUUCAGAAAGAAGUGAGAAGUAUUGGCCAUAUAACAAAGUGGCCAAGCUUUGAUCUGAAAGCCAAUGGUACUGUGUUUCUUAUGACAGAGAAAUUAAAAUGUUACCUUCUUAUCUGCCUGUUAUAAAGCUGUCAUGUAUAUAAUAGGUAUAAACUUAAUUGCCAUUAAGUUUAAAGAUUAUGGCAAUUUGGGUAAGUCAUUAAAACUUUCUGAGGAUCAUUUACCUUACCUCUAGUAAAUGGGUAAAAAAAUACAAAUUUUAUAAGUCACUACAAGAAAAAAAAAUUUUUAAGCGUUUAUUAAAGUGCUUUUAAAAAUGUAAAGUGCAUGUUUGGUCUUCCUAAUUAUCUGGUAGAUACAGGAGAAGGAUGAAGAAAUUGGAUUCUUCAUUUUGACUAUUGCCACCUAACCCAUAUGACUACCAAUAAAAGGGAUUGCUGAAUUGUUUUAAUCAUGCAUUAACCAUCCAUUGUUAAUCUCUUUCAAGAAAACUGAAACAAAUGACUCAGGAGAAAUCUCUAAGUUUUCAUUAUGUGCUUUGGUAUAUAAAAAUUGUGGGUUUGCAGGCACAGGAUUCUAAAUAUUUAACUUAAUACAAAGCAUCUGAAUUAGUAUUCCCAUUUAAAUACUUACAGAUAAUUAGUGCCAAACUGGAAUUUUUAUUACAUAUUCCUUUCUUCAUUUGGAUCUCAGAAGAUAAACCAAACCCCUUAUUUUUGGUGUUUUUGUGCAUGUCUAUGUGGGUUUGAGUGUUUUGCAAAUAUUUGGUACUUAGCAGAUUUUUUUUUCCAAGCAGAUGUUCUUCAAAUACUUCUAAGAAUUUGUACUUAAUCAUGAUUAAACUAACUUUAAGAACAACAUUUAUGAAUGGAAAACAGAUAUCAUUUCUAUAAAAAGAGACAUCUCACUAAAUUCCUCUAGAAAAAUUAUAAUUUACUUGGCCUUGCUGCAGACUUAAAGACACUAUAGAGGUUUUUGAAAGACCUUAUUUAGCAAGAGUUUCAGGUAAGUAGACUUUUUGAAUGCUAAAAUUAACCCAGAUGUUUUCCGUCUAUGUUAUACAAUUAUAAAUGUGUGACAUGUAUGUGUAACUUGGUCCCCAUGCUGUGCAGUGGAAAAAA
rnacentral:lncRNA from 1 species